rnacentral:tRNA from 1 species
GAUUUUAUAGUUUAUAAUUAAAAUUUCAAAUUGCAAGUUUGAAGAAGCCUAUUUAUAAGGCUAAAAUCU